UACGUAGGUGACAAGCGUUGUCCGGAUUUACUGGGCGCAAAGAGCGCGCAGGCGGUCGUUCAAGUCGAGUGUGAAAGCCCCCGGCUCAACUGGGGAGGGUCAUUCGAUACUGAUCGACUCGAAGGCAGGAGAGGGUAGUGGAAUUCCCGGUGUAGUGGUGAAAUGCGUAGAUAUCGGGAGGAACACCAGUGGCGAAGGCGACUACCUGGCCUGUUCUUGACGCUGAGGCGCGAAAGCUAGGGGAGCAAACGGG
rnacentral:rRNA from 1 species